GAUGAACGCUAGCGAUAGGCCUAACACAUGCAAGUCGAGGGGCAUCACAUGAAGUAGCAAUACGGAUGGUGGCGACCGGCGCACGGGUGAGUAACACGUAUGCAACCUGCCUUCAACAAGGGGAUAACCCGUUGAAAGACGGACUAAUACCCUAUAACACAGGGGUCCCGCAUGGGGAAUAUUUGUUAAAGGACAACCGGUUGAAGAUGGGCAUGCGUUCCAUUAGCUAGUUGGCGGGGUAACGGCCCACCAAGGCAACGAUGGAUAGGGGAACUGAGAGGUUUAUCCCCCACACUGGUACUGAGACACGGACCAGACUCCUACGGGAGGCAGCAGUGAGGAAUAUUGGUCAAUGGACGCAAGUCUGAACCAGCCACGUCGCGUGAAGGAAGACGGCCCUACGGGUUGUAAACUUCUUUUGCAAGGGAAUAAAGUGGGCCACGUGUGGCCUUUUGCAAGUACCUUGCGAAUAAGGAUCGGCUAACUCCGUGCCAGCAGCCGCGGUAAAUCACUAUCCGA
rnacentral:rRNA from 1 species